GAUUUUGGUGGGUUAGUUUUUUCACCGUCUUUUUACUGCAAGGAACGAUCAUGUGGAUCGUUUCGCUCCCGGUGCAAGUCGGGCAAAGAUCU
rnacentral:tRNA from 1 species